CUGAGCUCAAAUCAGGUAGGACUACCCGCUGAACUUA
rnacentral:rRNA from 1 species